AACGAACGCUGGCGGCAUGCCUAACACAUGCAAGUCGAACGAACCCUUCGGGGUGAGUGGCGCACGGGUGCGUAACACGUGGGAACCUGCCCUUAGGUUCGGAAUAACAGUUAGAAAUGACUGCUAAUACCGGAUAAUGUCUUCGGACCAAAGAUUUAUCGCCUUUGGAUGGGCCCGCGUAGGAUUAGCUAGUUGGUGAGGUAAAGGCUCACCAAGGCGACGAUCCUUAGCUGGUCUUAGAGGAUGAUCAGCCACACUGGGACUGAGACACGGCCCAGACUCCUACGGGAGGCAGCAGUGGGGAAUAUUGGACAAUGGGCGAAAGCCUGAUCCAGCAAUGCCGCGUGAGUGAUGAAGGCCUUAGGGUUGUAAAGCUCUUUUACCUGGGAUGAUAAUGACAGUACCAGGAGAAUAAGCCCCGGCUAACUCCGUGCCAGCAGCCGCCGCAGUAA
rnacentral:rRNA from 1 species